CAUUAGAUGACUGAAAGCAA
rnacentral:tRNA from 19 species